rnacentral:rRNA from 1 species
GCCAGACUCCUACGGGAGGCAGCAGUAAGGGAUAUUGGUCAAUGGGGGAAACCCUGAACCAGCAACGCCGCGUGAGGGAAGACGGUUUUCGGAUUGUAAACCUCUGUCCUCUGUGAAGAUGAUGACGGUAGCAGAGGAGGAAGCUCCGGCUAACUACGUGCCAGCAGCCGCGGUAAUACGUAGGGAGCGAGCGUUGUCCGGAUUUACUGGGUGUAAAGGGUGCGUAGGCGGCUUGGCAAGUCAGAUGUGAAAUCCAAGGGCUCAACCCUUGAACUGCAUUUGAAACUGUCGUUCCUGAGUACUGGAGAGGUUGACGGAAUUCCUAGUGUAGCGGUGAAAUGCGGAGAUAUUAGGAGGAACACCAGUGGCGAAGGCGGUCAACUGGACAGCAACUGACGCUGAGGCGCGAAAGCGUGGGGAGCAAACAGGAUUAGAUACCCUCGUAC